GACAUGUCCGGAAUCCCGAAGAGAUUUGGGAGUGCUCGCAAGAGAGCCGGAACACAGGUGCUGCAUGGCUGUCGUCAGCUCGUGUCGUGAGAUGUUGGGUUAAGUCCCGCAACGAGCGCAACCCUUGUCAUUAGUUGCCAUCAUUUGGUUGGGCACUCUAAUGAGACUGCCGGUGACAAACCGGAGGAAGGUGGGGAUGACGUCAAGUCCUCAUGGCCCUUAUGGGUAGGGCUUCACACGUCAUACAAUGGUCGGUACAGAGGGUUGCCAACCCGCGAGGGGGAGCUAAUCCCACAAAGCCGAUCGUAGUCCGGAUCGCAGUCUGCAACUCGACUGCGUGAAGUCGGAAUCGCUAGUAAUCGUGGAUCAGCAUGUCACGGUGAAUACGUUCCCGGGUCUU
rnacentral:rRNA from 1 species